rnacentral:rRNA from 1 species
AACGCUAGCUACAGGCUUAACACAUGCAAGUCGAGGGGCAGCGCAGUGUAGCAAUACAUGGGCGGCGACCGGCGCACGGGUGCGUAACGCGUAUCCAACCUUCCCGAUACUCUUGGAUAGCCUUCCGAAAGGGAGAUUAAUACAAGAUGGUGUUUCACUUUCGCAUGUUAUUGAAACUAAAGAUUUAUCGGUAUCGGAUGGGGAUGCGUGACAUUAGGUAGAUGGCGGGGUAACGGCCCACCAUGCCUACGAUGUCUAGGGGUUCUGAGAGGAAGGUCCCCCACACUGGAACUGAGACACGGUCCAGACUCCUACGGGAGGCAGCAGUGAGGAAUAUUGGUCAAUGGUCGGAAGACUGAACCAGCCAAGUAGCGUGAAGGAUGAAGGUUCUAUGGAUUGUAAACUUCUUUUAUACGGGAAUAAAACCUCCCACGUGUGGGAGCUUGUAUGUACCGUAUGAAUAAGCAUCGGCUAACUCCGUGCCAGCAGCCGCGGUAAUACGGAGGAUGCGAGCGUUAUCCGGAUUUAUUGGGUCUAAAGGGAGCGUAGACGGGGGAUUAAGUCAGUUGUGAAAGGCUGCGGCUCAACCGCAGCACUGCAGUUGAUACUGGUUUCCUUGAGUUCGGUUGAGGUGUAUGGAAUUCGUGGUGUAGCGGUGAAAUGCUUAGAUAUCACGAAGAACUCCGAUUG